GUGAAGUUUGAAUCAGUUUGUUGUCUGUAUUUUUCGUUUCACUCAAUGGUUUCACGGUACCGACUACUGAAUAUCAGACGACCGACAAAAUGACAAUAAACAAAAUAUCGGAUAUACCUAUUUAAAUAUAUAAUAUUAAUAUAAUAUUAUCUGCACGGACAAUCAUACUGUAGUUGUAGUGUUGUACUGUUGUAUACAUAUUUUGUACGUCAUAGUUCAUACUACUCACAUACGAAUUUACGCAUAAUUAGUAGAUUCGAAGAAGCCACUGAUAUGCGACAGUGUGUAUAUAGUUUCUUCUUGCAAAUAAAAUUAUAAUAACUUUGCAUUGAACAACACAAUCGACAAGUGCAUAUAUGAAUAACAACGAAUUAUAAUUAUUUGACUCGUCUUGUACCUUGUUUGACAUCGGAACGAGAACUUACGCCACACAGUCAUUAUUGUGUUUUUGUAAUUUUUCACUGAAUAUUCCUGUGCUUCACCUAAAAUGUUGAAGAUUUUCAGCUUCAUAUCCUAUUGGUAUAUGCGUUACUUACUGGUCACCGAAUUGUAUUUAGUAGAAAAAUGGGAAAGGUGUUUGAUACAUACUAUAAUGUUUAUAUUAUUCUUUGGAUUAUGGUACAUGAAUAAAGUAUUCAUUGAAUUUGUUUCAAAUUGUAUAGCAUGAUUAAACUAUAAUAACAUAUUAUGUUAUUAUAAGAUAUUACUGUCAAGUUGUUAAAAUCUUUGAAAAAAUAAUUAAAAGCUGUAUCCAUGAAAAAGAAAAUAUUUUCAACAUUAAUAUUGACUAUGAUACAACAAAAAUAUUGUGGUAAUUUAUAAAAUAAAGAAAACAUUUAUUUUUUUCCAUAA